rnacentral:pre_miRNA from 1 species
AUUAUACUCCCUCCGUCCGAAAAUAUUUGUCAUCAAAAUGGACAAAAAGGGAUGUAUCUAAAACUAAAAUACAUCUAGAUACAUCCCUUUUAUCCAUUUUGAUGACAAGUAUUUUCGGACGGAGGGAGUAUAUA